rnacentral:rRNA from 1 species
UAGCUUGCUAAUUUGCUGACGACCGGCGCACGGGUGCGUAACGCGUAUACAACCUACCUUUUGGAGGGGAAUAGCCCAGGGAAACUUGGAUUAAUGCCCCAUAGUAUGUUGAUCUCUCCUGAGAUUAUCAUUAAACAUUUAUGGCCAUUAGAUGGGUAUGCGUCCUAUUAGUUUGUUGGUAAGGUAACGGCUUACCAAGGCUACGAUAGGUAGGGGUCCUGAGAGGGAGAUCCCCCACACUGGUACUGAGACACGGACCAGACUCCUACGGGAGGCAGCAGUGAGGAAUAUUGGACAAUGGGCGAGAGCCUGAUCCAGCCAUGCCGCGUGCAGGAAGACUGCCCUAUGGGUUGUAAACUGCUUUUAUACGGGAAGAACCGCACCCUCGUGAGGGUGUUUGACGGUACCGUAAGAAUAAGGAUCGGCUAACUCCGUGCCAGCAGCCGCGGUAAUACGGAGGAUCCAAGCGUUAUCCGGAAUCAUUGGGUUUAAAGGGUCCGUAGGCGGGAUAAUCAGUCAGUGGUGAAAGUCUGCAGCUCAACUGUAGAAUUGCCAUUGAUACUGUUAUCCUUGAGUUAUUAUGAAGUGGUUAGAAUGAGUAGUGUAGCGGUGAAAUGCAUAGAUAUUACUCAGAAUACCGAUUGCGAAGGCAGAUCACUAAUAAUACACUGACGCUGAUGGACGAAAGCGUA